rfam:Myotis davidii contig216701, whole genome shotgun sequence.
CUGUCUCUUGUUUCAAUAGUGUUUGGAUGGAACAG